UGUGGUGACAACAACCUCGCGUAAGAUUGUAGCGUGAGUUGACAACACCGCAACAGGCCCUCCGAGGAGGGAUAAAAGGCACUGCCUUUCGGCACCCGCCAUCUUAUGUAUUUAUUUGUACUAGCCAUUUUGCCGAUAUAUGUUUCAAGGAAAACCGAAUGCUAUUAAGAAAUUGUCUGCCAACAAUAGGCCUUCCAGUAGGCAUUUUCACGAUGUGUGUUUCAAGGCACACGGGAGACUAAUAUUAAAUUGUCUACCAACAAAAGGACUUCCAGGUAUGUUUAAAUAAGACUAACUUGCCUGUUUUAAAGAUUGCUACAACAUACAUUAUUCACCCUACAUAC
rnacentral:lncRNA from 1 species